rnacentral:rRNA from 1 species
CCUACGGGAGGCAGCAGUGGGGAAUAUUGGGCAAUGGGCGCAAGCCUGACCCAGCAACGCCGCGUGAAGGAAGAAGGCUUUCGGGUUGUAAACUUCUUUUCUCAGGGACGAAGCAAGUGACGGUACCUGAGGAAUAAGCCACGGCUAACUACGUGCCAGCAUCCGCGGGAAUACGUAGGUGGCAAGCGUUAUCCGGAUUUACUGGGUGUAAAGGGCGUGUAGGAGGGAAAGCAAGUCAGAUGUGAAAACCAUGGGCUCAACCUGUGGCCUGCAUUUGAAACUGUUUUUCUUGAGUACUGGAGAGGCAGACGGAAUUCCUAGUGUAGCGGUGAAAUGCGUAGAUAUUAGGAGGAACACCAGUGGCGAAGGCGGUCUGCUGGACAGCAACUGACGCUGAGGCGCGAAAGCGUGGGGAGCAAACAGGAUUAGAUACCCCAGUAGUC